rnacentral:rRNA from 1 species
UACGUAGGGGGCGAGCGUUGUCCGGAUUUAUUGGGCGUAAAGAGCUCGUAGGCGGUUCGGUAAGUCAGAUGUAAAAACUCCAGGCUCAACUUGGAGAGGCCAUCUGAUACUGCCGUGACUAGAGUCCGGUAGAGGAGCACGGAAUUCCUGGUGUAGCGGUGAAAUGCGCAGAUAUCAGGAGGAACACCGGUGGCGAAGGCGGUUCUCUGGCAAUGUUCUGACGCUGAGGAGCGAAAGUGUGGGGAGCGAACAGG